rnacentral:misc_RNA from 1 species
GAUCACUUAUGAUAUUUAAUACCACCGUGGUCAUGUGCCAUACCUGUGGUGCGGAUCAUGCUGAAUUAAUGGCCUCUUGGUCCUGGGAAGAGAAGAGGAUGAAGAUAUCGGAAUAUUAACAAGUGCAUUUUAUAUGGAAACAACAUCUGGCUAGUUGAUCAUGGGUGGAUCUCUGUCCUCAAUUGCCUGGAGUUCCAACCACCAACCG